rnacentral:rRNA from 1 species
UUUCGCAAUGCCCGAAAGGGUGACGAAGCGACGCCGCGUGGGUGAGGAAGGCCCUCGGGUUGUAAAGCCCUGUCAGGAGUUAAGAAAUAUAGGCUCGCUAAUAUCGUGUCUAUUUGACAAAGGCUCCAAAGGAAGCCACGGCUAACUCUGUGCCAGCAGCCGCGGUAAUACAGAGGUGGCAAGCGUUGUUCGGAAUUAUUGGGCGUAAAGAGCACGUAGGUGGGUUUGUAAGUCAGAUGUGAAAGCCUUCUGUUCAACGGAAGAAUUGCAUCUGAAACUGCGAGUCUUGAGUGUAGGAGGGGAGAAUGGAACUUCUGGUGGAGCGGUGAAAUGCGUAGAUAUCAGAAGGAACGCCGGCGGCGAAAGCGAUUCUCUGGCCUAUUACUGACACUCAGUGUGCGAAAGCUAGGGGAGCAAACGGGAUUAGAUACCCCGGUAGUCCUAGCCGUAAACGAUGGGCACUAAGUAGAGGGGUUUUA